UACGUAGGUGGCAAGCGUUGUCCGGAUUUACUGGGCGUAAAGAGCGCGCAGGCGGUCGUUCAAGUCGCGUGUGAAAGCCCCCGGCUCAACUGGGGAGGGUCACGCGAUACUGAUCGACUCGAAGGCAGGAGAGGGAAGUGGAAUUCCCGGUGUAGUGGUGAAAUGCGUAGAUAUCGGGAGGAACACCAGUGGCGAAGGCGACUUCCUGGCCUGUUCUUGACGCUGAGGCGCGAAAGCUAAGGGGAGCAAACGGGG
rnacentral:rRNA from 1 species